rnacentral:rRNA from 1 species
UACGUAGGGUGCGAGCGUUAAUCGGAAUUACUGGGCGUAAAGCGUGCGCAGGCGGUUCGUUGUGUCCGUCGUGAAAGCCCCGGGCUUAACCUGGGAACUGCGAUGGAAACUAGCGAGCUGGAGUGUGGCAGAGGGGGGUGGAAUUCCGCGUGUAGCAGUGAAAUGCGUAGAGAUGCGGAGGAAUACCGAUGGCGAAGGCAGCCCCCUGGGAUAACACUGACGCUCAGGCACGAAAGCGUGGGGAGCAAACAGG